rnacentral:rRNA from 1 species
UACAGAGGGUGCAAGCGUUAAUCGGAAUAACUGGGCGUAAAGGGCGUGUAGGUUGUUUUGUAAGUUAGUUGUGAAAUAUCUGGGCUUAACCUGGAGGAGUCAACUAAAACUGCAAAGCUAGAGUUAAGGAGAGGGAAGUGGAAUUUCCGGAGUAGCGGUGAAAUGCGUAGAUAUCGGAAGGAACACCAGUGGCGAAGGCGACUUUCUGGCUGAAGACUGACACUGAUGCGCGAAAGCAUGGGGAGCAAACAGG